UGGGGAAUAUUGGGCAAUGGGCGAAAGCCUGACCCAGCAACGCCGCGUGAAGGACGAAGGCCUUCGGGUUGUAAACUUCUUUGAUCAGGGACGAAACAAAUGACGGUACCUGAAGAACAAGCCACGGCUAACUACGUGCCAGCAGCCGCGGUAAUACGUAGGUGGCGAGCGUUAUCCGGAUUUACUGGGUGUAAAGGGCGUGUAGGCGGGUUUGCAAGUCGGAUGUGAAAUUCCCGGGCUUAACUCGGGCGGGUCAUCCGAAACUGCAGAUCUUGAGUACUGGAGAGGAUAGUGGAAUUCCUAGUGUAGCGGUAAAAUGCGUAGAUAUUAGGAGGAACACCAGUGGCGAAGGCGGUUUCCUGGCCUGAUACUGACGCUGAGGCGCGAAAGCGUGGGGAGCAAACA
rnacentral:rRNA from 1 species